rnacentral:rRNA from 1 species
CGAAAGCCUGACGGAGCAAGACCGCGUGAGGGAGGAAGGCUCUUGGGUUGUAAACCUCUUUUCUCAGGGAAGAAGCUCUGACGGUACCUGAGGAAUCAGCCUCGGCUAACUCCGUGCCAGCAGCCGCGGUAAUACGGAGGAGGCAAGCGUUAUCCGGAAUUAUUGGGCGUAAAGCGUCCGCAGGUGGCGAUUCAAGUCUGCUGUCAAAGCACGGGGCUUAACUCCGUAAAGGCAGUGGAAACUGAAUAGCUAGAGUGCCGUAGGGGUAGAGGUAAUUCCCGGUGUAGCAGUGAAAUGCGUAGAUAUCGUGAGGAAGACCAAUGGCGAAAGCAUGUUACUGGACAACUCCUGACGCUGAGGCUCGAAGGCUAGGGUAGCG